rnacentral:rRNA from 1 species
ACAUGCAGUCGAGGGGCAGCAUGGUCUUAGCUUGCUAAGGCUGAUGGCGACCGGCGCACGGGUGAGUAACACGUAUCCAACCUGCCGUCUACUCUUGGCCAGCCUUCUGAAAGGAAGAUUAAUCCAGGAUGGGAUCAUGAGUUCACAUGUCCGCAUGAUUAAAGGUAUUUUCCGGUAGACGAUGGGGAUGCGUUCCAUUAGAUAGUAGGCGGGGUAACGGCCCACCUAGUCAACGAUGGAUAGGGGUUCUGAGAGGAAGGUCCCCCACAUUGGAACUGAGACACGGUCCAAACUCCUACGGGAGGCAGCAGUGAGGAAUAUUGGUCAAUGGGCGAUGGCCUGAACCAGCCAAGUAGCGUGAAGGAUGACUGCCCUAUGGGUUGUAAACUUCUUUUAUAAAGGAAUAAAGUCGGGUAUGCAUACCCGUUUGCAUGUACUUUAUGAAUAAGGAUCGGCUAACUCCGUGCCAGCAGCCGCGGUAAUACGGAGGAUCCGAGCGUUAUCCGGAUUUAUUGGGUUUAAAGGGAGCGUAGAUGGAUGUUUAAGUCAGUUGUGAAAGUUUGCGGCUCAACCGUAAAAUUGCAGUUGAUACUGGAUGUCUUGAGUGCAGUUGAGGCAGGCGGAAUUCGUGGUGUAGCGGUGAAAUGCUUAGAUAUCACGAAGAACUCCGAUUGCGAAGGCAGCCUGCUAAGCUGCAACUGACAUUGAGGCUCGAAAGUGUGGGUAUCAAACAGGAUUAGAUACCCUGGUAGUCCACACGGUAAACGAUGAAUACUCGCUGUUUGCGAUAUACGGCAAGCGGCCAAGCGAAAGCGUUAAGUAUUCCACCUGGGGAGUACGCCGGCACGGUGAAACUCAGAGGAAUUGACGG